GGCGUCGAGCGGCGGACGGGUGAGUAAUGCCUAGGAAAUUGCCCUGAUGUGGGGGAUAACCAUUGGAAACGAUGGCUAAUACCGCAUGAUGCCUACGGGCCAAAGAGGGGGACCUUCGGGCCUCUCGCGUCAGGAUAUGCCUAGGUGGGAUUAGCUAGUUGGUGAGGUAAGGGCUCACCAAGGCGACGAUCCCUAGCUGGUCUGAGAGGAUGAUCAGCCACACUGGAACUGAGACACGGUCCAGACUCCUACGGGAGGCAGCAGUGGGGAAUAUUGCACAAUGGGCGCAAGCCUGAUGCAGCCAUGCCGCGUGUGUGAAGAAGGCCUUCGGGUUGUAAAGCACUUUCAGUCGUGAGGAAGGUAGUGUAGUUAAUAGCUGCAUUAUUUGACGUUAGCGACAGAAGAAGCACCGGCUAACUCCGUGCCAGCAGCCGCGGUAAUACGGAGGGUGCGAGCGUUAAUCGGAAUUACUGGGCGUAAAGCGCAUGCAGGUGGUUUGUUAAGUCAGAUGUGAAAGCCCGGGGCUCAACCUCGGAAUUGCAUUUGAAACUGGCAGACUAGAGUACUGUAGAGGGGGGUAGAAUUUCAGGUGUAGCGGUGAAAUGCGUAGAGAUCUGAAGGAAUACCGGUGGCGAAGGCGGCCCCCUGGACAGAUACUGACACUCAGAUGCGAAAGCGUGGGGAGCAAACAGGAUUAGAUACCCUGGUAGUCCACGCCGUAAACGAUGUCUACUUGGAGGUUGUGGCCUUGAGCCGUGGCUUUCGGAGCUAACGCGUUAAGUAGACCGCCUGGGGAGUACGGUCGCAAGAUUAAAACUCAAAUGAAUUGACGGGGGCCCGCACAAGCGGUGGAGCAUGUGGUUUAAUUCGAUGCAACGCGAAGAACCUUACCUACUCUUGACAUCCAGAGAACUUUCCAGAGAUGGAUUGGUGCCUUCGGGAACUCUGAGACAGGUGCUGCAUGGCUGUCGUCAGCUCGUGUUGUGAAAUGUUGGGUUAAGUCCCGCAACGAGCGCAACCCUUAUCCUUGUUUGCCAGCGAGUAAUGUCGGGAACUCCAGGGAGACUGCCGGUGAUAAACCGGAGGAAGGUGGGGACGACGUCAAGUCAUCAUGGCCCUUACGAGUAGGGCUACACACGUGCUACAAUGGCGCAUACAGAGGGCAGCCAACUUGCGAAAGUGAGCGAAUCCCAAAAAGUGCGUCGUAGUCCGGAUUGGAGUCUGCAACUCGACUCCAUGAAGUCGGAAUCGCUAGUAAUCGUGGAUCAGAAUGCCACGGUGAAUACGUUCCCGGGCCUUGUACACACCGCCCGUCACACCAUGGGAGUGGGCUGCAAAAGAAGUAGG
rnacentral:rRNA from 1 species